CUUCCCCAUAGGGUCCUGAAACCACUGCUGGCUCCGUCGACCCCGACCACCCGCUGGUCCGAGUGGAGCCUCAGCCCUUCUUACCGCCCUGGUGACGGAGAGGAACCUGUCGUAGCUGAUGAGGACGAUGUUGAAGACCGAGGCGGUGCACAUCAGCUGUGUGGAAGAUGGUGUCAUUGACAAGAUGGGGCGCUCUGGAGGAGGACAGGUCUUCAGGGAUGCUCAAGUUCAAAUUGUACAGAAAGAACUCAAGGCUUUAGGGCUGAGCCUUGAGGAACACCAUCAUUUAAUGGUCCAGUAGAGGAGAGGAGAUCCUCCAGGUGACUGAGCACAAAAGUCCAGGUUGGCGGAGAGAAAUUCAGAGCUCAAGGUGCAACAGGAGUCAUCGAGGGAGGGCUUUAAGCACCUGGGAAAGGCCAAGAGGUCAAGUGCUGGUGGAUUCAGCAAGAUGAACUCACUGGGGAUCUUGUCUUUGGUUGAUGGACAUCUGGAUUGAUUCCAUAUCUUAGCUUUUGUGAAUUGAUCUGCAAUAAACACGAAGGUACAGCUCACUCUCUCAUAUGCUGAUUUCUUUAUGUUUGGGUAAAUGCCCAAGAAUGGGAUGGCUGGGUCAUAUGGUAGGUCUAUACUGAGAUUUCUGAGGUAUCUCCAUCCUGUCUUCCAUAGUGGCUGCACCAAUUUACAUUCCCACCAGCAGUGGAUUAGGGUACCUUUUCCCCACAUCCUUGCCACAUUUGUCGUUUGUUGAUUUUUGUAUGUCCUGCAUAGCUUUUUAAAAGUUUUAUUUGAAAGGCAAAGUGAGGGGGAGAGAGAGAGAGAGAGAGAGAGAGAGAGAGAAAUGUCUUCUAUCUACUGCUUUACUUCCUGAGUGCCAGCAACAGUUAGGGUUUUGCCAGGUCAUCCAGUCAAGGGACUGGAACUCCAUCAGAUUUUCCACACAGGCGGCCAUCAUCAAGUACCUGCUGCCUCCCCGGAUGCAUUUUAGCAGAAAGCUGAGGGGCCAGAACUUGACCCAGACUCUCCAAUACGGGAUGUGAGUGCCCCAAACCAGGACUUGGUGCAGCAAAUGCUGCCCUCUGAGAGCCAUCCUUUGAAAACCACUUUUCUCCCACUCCUGAUGAGCCUGUGUUCUGGGAUGGUAAUAGCAUCAAUCAAGAAUAACCUUGUAAUUUGUUAAUGCUACAAGAGUCAAUCUGGAAUAUUGUGGAAAUUAUUGGAAAAGAGCAAUUCUUGUUCCUUUUGUUGUUAUACUGGGAGUGCUUUCUGGGACCAUCCAUGAAGAGGAUUCAAAAGCUGACAUGGGAAGAAAGCUGAGCUGAGAGAAAGGAGAGAAGGAGGUAGAUGAGGUGCUGGUGACAUCACGUGAGCCCUGGAUGCAGCUGUGCUCCUGAAUGGUUCAGGCCUUCUGACCCGUGCUGGAACUUCAUCGUUAGCUCUCUUGGGGGCCCCUGCUUGCUGACCACAGAUCUGGGGACUGCUUAGCCUCCGCACUCACGUGAGCGAUUUCUUGUAUUAAGUCUCUCUUUUCCUUCCUCCCUACUCCCUCCCUCAAUCUCUUCUUGGUGCUGUUUCUCUGGAGAACCAUGACUGCUACAACAUCAUAGACAAAAUGGCAAGAUGCUCUCAGAGUUCUCCUGGGAUUCUACAGUUUGUCCUCUGGAGGUGCCUGUGCCUUUGGUCAUGGGGCAGCUGCUGACCUGUUCUCCCAGAUGCAGGCACAGACGCAGCUGCUUCUGUUUCCCUUUCUUUAGUGUGUGUCUCUGAGUCAGUUAUUUCCAGGCAGGGACUUGAAAUCGCAGGUGAAACUGCUUAGUGAUACAAAGAGGCGCUGCUUGGCGCGAUGCAGGCAAACAGGUGGAGAGGAAUACUUUUUUUGUUUGUUUUGUUUUGACAGGCAGAGUGGACAGUGAGAGAGAGAGAGACAGAGAGAAAGGUCUUCCUUUGCCGUUGGUUCACCCUCCAAUGGCCACCGUGGGCAGCGCGCUGCCGCCGGCGCACCGCGCUGAUCCGAAGGCAGGAGCCAGGUGCUUCUCCUGGUCUCCCAUGGGGUGCAGGGCCCAAGCACUUGGGCCAUCCUCUACUGCACUCCUGGGCCAUAGCAGAGAGCUGGCCUGGAAGAGGGGCAACCGGGACAGAAUCUGGCACCCUGACCGCGACUAGAACCCGGUGUGCCGGCACCGCAAGGCGGAGGAUUAGCCUAGUAAGCCGCGGCGCCGGCCGAGAGGAAUACUUUUGUGUCCUGAUCUUUCAGGGGCAUGACUUGGGUGAAGAAGCAGUUGGCGGACAAGAGGGGUUAGAGCAGAGGCACAGUCUUCCCAGGGCCCGCUGGCUGCUGCUGGCUUUUUCUGUCUCAUCCGUCUUCUCUGGCCUACACUGACUCUGGUGAAAUGACUUUGAUGUAGGGGAGCGGGUACUGAUCAAAGAGGAAUGGAGGACGGCCAGCACCUGUGGGCACAGUCCUGAACCCCAUUCCCUUCCAUGCAGACACAUUUGCCAGGGUUGUGCUGGCUGGGUGCCCGCAAUGAGAAUGAAAUGACCGUGACUGGCACACACACUGCCAUCGUGCUCCUGAACCCCUCUCCUGACCUGCACCUGCUGCUGUGACACUUCUGAGAUUUCCCCAAAAAGGGGCAAGGGAAUGGGUGAUAUUCGAGCUCUGUCCCGAACUCCGCCUCCUUUGAAUAUUUAAUGAAGCCCUGCACCAGACACCAUCUCUAUCCUAUAAAUAAAAUGAUGAUCCCAAACUUUGUUAAGAGCAACACUCUCUCACCCACUUUCUCUCCAGGUUGUCCACACUCCCUCUGCGGGUACACUUCCCUUUGUCUUUAAAGAAAUCUUGCUUCUCCAUGAAUUCAGUCUCAUGUGGAGGUGAGAACCUGGACCAAGCCUAGCCAGGGGCUUCCCCUGCAACAACAUCUUUCUCACCUCAUGUUGAUUUUGUCCCACCGGAGAGGACAGAGGUGGGACAGGAGGCAGGUACCAAGGUCGCAAGAAGAGGCAGGAGGAGAGGUGAGAGAAGUUUAGUUUGGCUUGGAUUCUCUCCGGGGCCUUGCUCCUCUAAUGCCCAAGCGACUGCCUCCUCACCUACAGGUGACCCGCUGGGUUUGCUGCAGUCCAGCUGUGGGGCCAAAACAAGACCCCUCAUUUGCCUCAGUCUUGUCUCUGAAAUGCAAAUCGAGGAUUUUGCGUGGUUUGAGGCCAUUCUACUUGGUGGCCAACAUGUGUGUCUUGAAGUCCUUAGGGAGGGGAGUUGUGUGUCAGCCCCGGAACUUCUAAAUGUGGGCCCUUAGUCAUACAGAACUUUUGUUUCUUCAUCUGUAAAGAAGGAUGACGUGUCACAUGGAUGCACAAUGAGUCACUUUGAGUAUUAAAAACAGACCAACUCCUGGCUCUCCUCUCCAGACACUCUGGUAACUGGUUUGAAGAAUGACGAUGGGAGUUUUUAAGUCACCGGAGAUGGUUCUAAACAGUAGCAAGAUAGUGGAGCCACUGUACUGGAGGUUGGCUGGGAGUGUGAGAACCUGUGCAAAGCAGGUGGUGUACUGGGACACGAACUGGCACCAUAUGGGAUGCCAGCGUCUCAGGCAGUGGCAUUACCAGCUCAGCCAAGACACCAGCCCUAACUCUAAAUUUCUUUAUUUGUUAACCUGGGUUAUCAGUGAUGUCUGCCUCAUAAGACCUCUAGAGGGUUUAAAUGAACUAAUGCUUGCAGAGUAUUAUAGUACCAGAUGGGAUGGUUUUUGUGGUAAGAUAAAUUUAACACAACAUUGACUAUUCUAGCCAUUUAAAAAUGCAUAGUUCAUUAGUAUUAAGUAUGCUCAUUUUGUUGCACAUUUACUUAAUAGAUUUUGUUUGA